UUAGACUUAAGGAAGCCUUUAGAAGAAAAACACAAACCGACUAAGCAUUUUCUCUCAGCUCACUUACACGCUCAAAGGAAACCAAGGAGAGAAAAACACAGAAAACUUAAGGGAGAAGCAAGUUGGAAUUCUGAGAUUUGUAGAGUGGAUUUGGGAGUCUAGCUCAGGGGUUUAAUCAAGGAACUGGAGCAAGAUUUAAGGUGUUAAGCUAGGGCUCGAGGAUCGGAUCGCGCUCAAGGAGUAUCGCCCGUAACUAACUCAUCUGAAAGCUAAAGGUAAGAAAACUGCACCUGGUUGAUUAUAUGAGACGGGACUAAGGGCUCCCUAUUGUAAAAGCUUGAAAGGAUGGUAUUAUGCCAUGCAAGCCAUUUAGUGAACCAACGGCCUAAGGGUGCCAAGGGUCUCACUAGCGCACAGGGCGCGGCUCGGCCACUGGUAGCUGAGGACAGCUUAUUAUGCACUGAGCUUAGUUUAAGCGGGCCAGAGUCAGUGGGUUAAACAGAGGGCGCGACCUAAGUCGUCGGCCCUGAUUAUUAUGUGAUAUGAGCAGUAUAUGUGGUAGAAUGUAUCUUGUAUUGGAUUGUAUAUGCUGAUUAUCUGUUGUGGACUAUCUAGUAAAGGCAAGGGCAAGUUAGAUCAGCCCUGACUGGAGAGCUCGGUGAGCGGAAUGUACAUAGCCAGGUGCUCGGCCGCCACGGUUGAGGUCUAGGCAAGGACAUGGAACCUAAAGACUGUCUGUUUUGCCUUAGUAUGGCUAGUGGAUACUUAUGUACUUUUGGAAGUCUGUAAACUUAUUUUAACUUUGUGUUUAUGGGAUCCCUUGUUUAUUACAGUUUAAAUAUAUGAAAUGAGUCUUUUGAGACCGAAACCUUUUU